GAUGAACGCUGGCGGCGUGCCUAAUACAUGCAAGUCGAGCGAACAGACGAGGAGCUUGCUCCUCUGACGUUAGCGGCGGACGGGUGAGUAACACGUGGAUAACCUACCUAUAAGACUGGGAUAACUUCGGGAAACCGGAGCUAAUACCGGAUAAUAUAUUGAACCGCAUGGUUCAAUAGUGAAGGACGGUUUUGCUGUCACUUAUAGAUGGAUCCGCGCCGCAUUAGCUAGUUGGUAAGGUAACGGCUUACCAAGGCAACGAUGCGUAGCCGACCUGAGAGGGUGAUCGGCCGCACUGGAACUGAGACACGGUCCAGACUCCUACGGGAGGCAGCAGUAGGGAAUCUUCCGCAAUGGGCGAAAGCUUGACGGAGCAACGCCGCGUGAGUGAUGAAGGUCUUCGGAUCGUAAAACUCUGUUAUUAGGGAAGAACAAAUGUGUAAGUAACUAUGCACGUCUUGACGGUACCUAAUCAGAAAGCCACGGCUAACUACGUG
rnacentral:rRNA from 1 species